GCCACAUCGGCCCCGCUGAAGGGCCCGGGCGGGCGACAUGGCGGGACGGGGUCGGAGGCGUCUGGAGGGGUCUCAAGCGACGGGAGCGGUUUGCUAGCCCAGCGAGCCACGUCCAGGCCAGCUGCGGGUCGAAAACGGCAGCCCGCCUCCGGGUGUUGUGAUAAGUUUCCACGAGACACGUGUGUUUUUUCAAAUAGCGUUUUUCGUGAGUCCAGCAACCUGAAGGUGAGUGGAACAACUUUUAAACCCAGAGAUUUUGGUGCUGGCAGCUGGAAUUUGCCUGUUCCUGGACACCUCCCACUGGACCAGGUUGCCCAAAUCCCCAAUCAAUGAGAAAUUUGGGGGAAGAAAUCCAGCAGGAAUGGCCUCUUGAAAGACAACUGUCCAAUAUCUGAUGAAUUUGACUGAGUGCUCUGAGAAUGGUGGAGCUGGAAGCACCGUUUCCUGCGCUGAAUUCUGCACGAGUAAGCAGGCUCUUGCAGUCAGUAUGAAAUUUUAUCUAAUGGCGAUAGGACGUGCAGAGAACAACACGUCAAAAGGCCAGGGCCUCAGGUAGUCACGUCCUCCUGCGUUACAUUUGUUACCUGGGACCUGCUGACACGUGCCCUUUCUUUAUUUCUUUCUCUAGUGAUUGUAGUUUCUUUAUCCUGUAGGUUUUCCGGAAGCUUUUGCUGCGUUUACAGCCAAUAUGGAAGCGUUGAAUAACUUAACACCAAGUGCAAUCUUUCUGGCUCUGUUCAAAAAUUAUUUCUGCAAUCGAGUUAUUUUUCACAGUGUUUUUCUUCGAGACGUCAAUUGAGAACGUCUUAUUUAUACCAAAUAAAUAGUUAUGCUAUUAGCUUAAGUACAGACCAAUCAAAAAUCUAUGGCUAAAUGAGAACAUGUUGAUUCCUCCAUUCAUUUUCUCAAAAAAAAAAAAAGAAAAAUGCUAUAUAGGCGAAAAAAUCGUGUAGCGCUUAGUUUUCAGAAGUGCUGAGCGUGCAAAACUCUCCCCUCGGCUGCUGCACAAACACGAUUUGAAGGGCCUCUCGGCUUAAAUAAUGCCAUGCUUUUUUAAUUUUAUCCCCAGCUUUAGGCUGCACCCACGCUUGUGGGGAUCUCAGCUGAAAUAGCACCGAGGGGGGAGGAAGAGGGGCAUCACUGGAGUCAUUCCUGUCUUUGUAGCAGCACGAGAAGUCUCACAGGGGGGUGUUAUGUCUAAUGACUUACACCUGAAAUAAUUCUCAUGUCAGGGUUUUAUGGUUUGGUUCUCUGUGCUUGGAGUGGAGAUUAUUUAUCUUCCCGAGAUUAGUAGUAAUAAAUUAGUGAAUUCGUCCAAUACAUUGGAUAUUAAAAACAAACUGCAUUAUUAUAGCUUGGUAGCACCUUAAUCUGGAGGUCCAGAACCUGUGGUUAUUUUUGUGUUUUGCUGGUUUGAUGGUGUUUUCAGGAAAACCACUGUAAAAAAAACAUAAACCUUGUUUUUCACCACUGUCAGCUGUUAUCAUCCCUGACUGAUAAAGUGCAAAAAGUGGGAAGAGACAUUAA